CUUUAAAACAAAGUGUGUGUUUUCUAUGUUGGGAUGUUAAGGAAAAACAAACAGGGAGAAAUCUAUUCAGAGAACAGAUGUGGUAGUGGGAGUCAGCUUCCAGCAGGUGAUGCAGAGUGCUGAGACAGAUGACGACAGGCUGGGCUUCAGUUCCCUCACCUGGAGAGUGAUGAGAACACCAGCGCAAAAUUCCAGGGCCAUUGGGAAGAUGGAAUGAAAUAGUACAUGUAAUGGCUCGCAUCCAUAGUGCCUGGAACAUAACAAAUGC
rnacentral:lncRNA from 1 species